CCCAGAUUUGAGCAGCAGGAGCCCCUUCCAGCUGGCCCUAUGUCCUUCUGACACAGCCCCAUCAAUUUUGGCUCAGCCUUCUGGCACAUGGUGUUCCUGGCUUGCCUUGUACUUAAUUUGCCCUAGUCCUGGAAUCAGCCAUUUCUCCAAGGAACCCUACUUCCUUUUAGUGGAGAUUGUAUCUAAAUAGACAUAUUUAGUUGAGAAAAUGGGUUGAGGAAAAAAAAUAUUCAGAUCUCAAAAGCCAAAUCUCAGGGACCACACAACAGAUCUGGGCAGGAUCUGGUUCUUCACCCUGCCCAGGCUCUCCACACAACGGUUUAUAGUGGACUGGGUUGCCUGUGUUUCGGGGCCUAACAGGAGCGUCUGGACUCCAGUCCCAUUGGGCCGCAUGGCAGUCACCCAGCAGUUUCAGGAGCCCUGGGCUGCAGGUGAAGACAUGUGGUUGUAAACUGAGCCCACACAGAUGGAAGGGGGAGAAUUUGAGUUCCCUUUGGGGGAGACCUGCAAGCCGGAGCCGCAGGCUGCUUCCUCAGCUCAGAGAAGAGGAUUUGUUUCUAUUGCUGAUUUGCGGUGACCCUGGGUCUGUGUGCUGUCCUUAGUCGCUCAGUCGUGUCUGACUCUCUGCGACCUCAUGGAUUGUAGCCUGCCAGGCUCCUCUGUCCGUGGGAGUCUCCAGGCAAGAAUACUGGAGUGGGUUGCCAUGCCAUUCUCCAGGGGAUCUUCCCAACCCAACAGUCGAACCCAGGUCUCCCACACUGCAGGUGGAUUCUUUACCAUCUGAGCCACCAGGGAAGCCCAAGAAUACUGGCGUGUGUAGCCUGCCCUUCUCCAGGGGAUCUUCUCGACUCAGGAGUUGACCCCGGGUCUCCUGCUUUGCAGGCAGAUUGUCCACCAGCCGAGCUACCAGGGAAGCCCACCCUGCGUCUGUCACGUGCCAUUUUUCCAACUGCAUUUGCUCACUUCCUGUUUCUGUGUCAUAUUUUGAUAAUUCUCUCAGUAUUUCCAACUUUUUCAUUAUUGCUAUAUUUUUAUGGUGAUCAGUGGUCUUAGAUGUGACUAUUGCAGUUGUUUUGGGCACCAUGAACCACGCCCAUACUAGAAGGCAGAUUUGAUUCAUGAAUGUUGUGUGUAUUCUGACUGCUCCGUGACCAGGUGUUCUCCUGUCUCUCCUUCUCCUUGGGCCUCCCUGUUCCUGAGAUACAAUAUUGAAAUUAGGCCAGUUAAUAACCCUGAAGUGAUCUCUCGGUGUUCAAGUGGAAGGAAGAGUCAAACGUCUUUCACUUUAAAUCAAAAGCUGGAAACAAGCUUAGUGAAAGCCAAGGCAGGCCAAAAGCUAGUCUUCUCACACCAAACCAUUAGCCAAGUUGUGAAUGCAAAGGGAAAGUUCCUGAAGGAAAUUAAAUGGGUGCUCCAGUGAACACAUGGACGAUAGGAAAGUGAAACAGCCUUACUGCUGAUACGGAGGAAGUUUGAGCAGUCUGGAUAGAAGAUCAGACCAGCCACGUUCCCUGAAGCCAAAGCCUAAUGCAGAGCAAGACCCCUACUCUCUCCAGUUCUGCGAAGGCUGAGAGGUGAGGAAGCUGCAGAAGUGGUUCGUGAGGUUGAAGGAAAGACGCCAUCUCUGUAACAUAAUAGUGCCUGGUGACACAGUGCACCGUGCAGAAGCGCUAGCUCAGUUCAUGCGUGAUGGCCCUGCGGUGAAUAGCAGACGUUCAGUGCAGGCGAUGAGACAGCCAUUAAGAACAUUCAUGAUUCUUGGGAAGAGGUUCAAGUAUCAAAAUACACAGCCCUCAUGGACAACUUUGAGGGGUUCAAAAUACAGUGGCGGAAUUAGCUGCAGAUGUGGUGGGAACAGCAAGAGAACUAGCAGUGGGGCCUGAAGAUGUGGCUGAAUUGCCGCAAUUUCAUGAUCAAACUUGAAGAGGAGAUUCUCCUUAUGGAUCGACAUGGAAGUGGUUUCGUGAGAUGGAAUCCAUUCCUGUGAAGAUGUUGUUAAGACUGCUGAAAUGACAACAAAGGAUUUAGACUACGACCUCAACUUCGUUGAUAAAACAGGUUUGAGAGGACCGACUCCAAUUUUGAAAGAAGUUCUGUUGUGGGCCAGGUGCUGUCCAGCAGCACUGCAAGCUUCAGAGAAGCUGUUCACCAAAGUCAGUCACUGCAGCCAGCCUCACUGGUGUCUCAUAUUAAGAAACUGCUGCAGCCACCACCCUGUCGGUCAGCAGAUCAGUGCUGAGGCAAGACCCUCCACCAGCAAACAGAGGAGGACUCUCUGAAGGCCAAGGUGAUGAUUAGAAUGUUAAAACAAUGAAAUAUGUUUACAUUAAGGCACAUACAUUGUGUUUUCAGACAUAAUGUUAUUGCAUGCUCAACAGACUACAGCAUAGUGGAAAUAUAACUUCCGUAAGCAGCAG
ensembl:lncRNA